UACGGGGGGGGCAAGCGUUGUUCGGAAUUACUGGGCGUAAAGGGCGCGUAGGCGGCCUGCUAAGUCACACGUGAAAUCCCUCGGCUCAACCGGGGAACUGCGUGUGAUACUGGCGGGCUCGAAUUCGGGAGAGGGAUGUGGAAUUCCAGGUGUAGCGGUGAAAUGCGUAGAUAUCUGGAGGAACACCGGUGGCGAAGGCGGCAUCCUGGACCGAGAUUGACGCUGAUGCGCGAAAGCUAGGGUAGCAAACGGG
rnacentral:rRNA from 1 species